rnacentral:piRNA from 1 species
UCCUAAAAGAUACACACCCAAUACCCAGAGC